UUUGUGGGUGCAUGAUUUCUCUGUGUGUCUCUCUGUCUCUCUCACAAACUCACACACAAAAUACACACAGGAGCAAGAGCAUUCUCUCCUGUUGUGUGUGUGUGUGUUUCCUUGUGUGUCUCUGUCAUGUCUCUCUCACAGGCUCACAGAGGCAUGAGAGCAUGCGCUGUCUAUCUCUGUUUCUCUCACACAACACACACACACACACACACACACACACACACACACACUCCCUCAUUCACGUCACCACCACCACUGGCACCCAGGAAAGCAUGAGUCUUCCCAGCUCCCCACGCAGCCUGCUGAGCCAUUUUCUGAGUAGGCUCCCCCUUCCCACCCCCCACCCCACUCGGCAACAUUUCCAAAGGAGAGAAUGAAGAAUACAUGCUCAUUCAUAACGCCCUGCCACAAAUACUCUACAUGGAGCCUGUGCCAGUCCCUGGGGAUGCAGGCAUCUAGAAGACAGAGGAAUAUGAGCUGCCUUCCAGCUUCUCCUGGGGAGCAGAGAGCCUGGACUGGAAACUGUACCCUACUCCACCCCCAGCCUCUCCAUGAUUGUGCCCCAGCCCCUGGACUACUGUGAACCUGGGGUUCUGCAGAGCCUCAACUCCCACUGCCACGUGGCACGUGAAAAUCAAGAGCACCUUGUCUCUAGGGCAGCAUCCCUCAAUGGUUGGAAACCCCUUUGACUCUUUGGUAUUGGUCCUGCCUGAGCAGCCAGGGCUCACAAAAGGAUGACAGCCUCGGGGUGGACAGAAGAUAUGAAGAAGCAUGUCGUUCUGGCAGCUCUAAUGCACUGCUGACCACCUGCCACCUGAGGGCAUGGAGAAGACGGACCUGGGAACAAAGCUGACUUGGCGGCAGGAUCAUAGAGGCUAAGAUGGAACCACUGUGCACUUGAGUUCCUUCCUGAAGUUGGAAUUUUGGAAACUCUCCAGAAGGAUCCUGGCAGUUUCCUUCAGGACGGUCCCUUUGCCCAAACCCUGCUUUGAAACCAACAGCAAAGAGUGAUCAGGACUGAGGGUUUUGUCACAGCUUCCCCCGUAUUCUUUUUUCUCGGGUAACCAAUUCACCUUCCUUCGCAUGCUUCCAGGUGUCCCUGGGCCUGUCUGUCAUAUCCACAGGCAGUUAUAGGAGUGAUCACUUAACAGUGUACCUCAGAUGCAGCAAAGGCCAUGGCUUUGGAGAGGUGCUUACCUUGGACAUGUUACUGUAUGCUCUUUGCUUUUCCUUACCUUUGGAGUCCUGGGCUGUACAAAGAGAUAUCUAUGAGCAUGAAAAGUGGUCAUGUGCGGCCAAUGUUUUUCACCAAUGCCUGGCAUGCAUUCAAUGCCCAAUACAAUAGACUGUUUAUUAAUCUCA